AGCUUAUCGGUGAUGUUGUAAAAAUAAAUGUCUGAACAUAUGAGUACAAUAAUGAUUUCAGCAUCAAACUGAGAUGAGCU
rfam:Echinops telfairi cont1.747943, whole genome shotgun sequence.